UGGGGAAAUGGCACUGCUCUCACCUGAACUAUCACUCUGCGUGUUUCCAGAACCCGCAGCCACUGUUUGUUGGUUCUCAAGCUUGGUUGCAGGCAAUGGCAUGUUCAGAUAGGUGAGGAGCUCGAAGAUUGAAGGAAAAGCUUCCAGACCCUGAGAGACAAUGUCAGGAGAGGACACCAUUCUUUUCACUGGGUCUGCAUCCAAUAAGGUGUGAUGGAAAUGGUGCUAUGUGACUCCCAAGGCCAGGUCAAAGCAGCCUUGCAGUGUCUGCCUUGGUCUUCUGACAGCCUCAGGAGCCCUGAGCUGUUGUGCAGGAGAGGCCAGGCAUGGGUGCUCCAGGAGACAGGCCCCACUGAGCCCAGCCUUGCAGCUGGCUUGCCAAACCACUCAACUCACGAAGGAGGCUAUCCAGGUCCUCCAGACCAGCCCAUCUGCCAGCCGAGUGCCAUCAGGUGACCUCAGUCAGUGCCACAUGGGGCAGAAGAAUCACCCUGCCCAGCAGUCCCUGAAUGAAUUCCUGCCACAAAAGCAUGAGAUAUGGUAAAAUCAUUUUAAGCCACUAAGUUUUGGGACAGCGUGUUAUGCAACAAUAGAAAAUAGAGCUGAGGCCCACCGUCCUGCCCUUUCUGCAAGAUGCUAGCAUAAGUGGGCUGUCCUCUGAGACCCUUGAACUCUGUUCUUCUCAGGCAGAUCCAGUCUGGGCUCUCUGAGCCCCUCCCCUGUCUAGACUCUUAUUCUAGGAGCACUGUUCUUCACUGCAGCUGACCUCAGCCCAGACGCUGUCUUCGGAGGAAGAUCCCAGACGGUCCAUGACUUGUUCAGACCCCAUUGCAGGGCAAGACCCACAGCCCUUAGCCAUUGGCUCAAAGCACGUCAUUCAUUCAUUCAAAAGAUAUUGAGACCUACUGAGUGCCAGGCUCUGUUUUAGGAUCUGAGGAUAUAACCACGAAUGAGAUGAGCCCUCCUGGAACUUACUUUCUAGUGGCAGAGACAGGAACAAACACGGGAAUAGAAUUUCAAAAUGACGGGUGUGGUGGCUCAUGCCUGUAAUCCCAGAUCUUUCAGAGGCCGAGGCGGGUGGAUCACCUGAGGUCAGGAGUUCGAGACCAGCCUGGCCAAUGUGUUGAAACUCUGUUUCUACUAAAAAAUACAAAAAAAAAAAAAAAUUAGCAGGGUGUGGUGGCAGGCACCUGUAAUCCCAGCUACUUGAGAGGCUGAGGCAGGAGAAUCGCUUGAACCCAAGAAGUGGAGGUUGCAGUGGGUCAAGGAUGCGCCAUUGCACUCCAGCGUGGGCGACACAGUGAGACUCCAUCUCAAAAAAAAAAAAAAGAAUUUCAGAGUGAGUUAAAUGCUUUUAAGGUAAUAAGGCAGAAAAGGGAGACAAAGAUGGAUUCUCCUGAGGAGCUGAUGGAAGAUGAGGAAUUUCUCUUCCAAAAUAUGCAGAAUCACACACACCCACUUAGCAUAUAGUCUGGGGGUAUUUGUUCUCCCUGAAGUCUGAGGACCUCUCUGGGCUGUAGAUUUCAGGUGAAGGAUAACUGAGUGAGAUAUGCUUUAGGGGACACACGGGCAAAGUCCAGGAGCCCCACAGGCAGACACCACCCCCUUCCCCGCAGCUGGUUCUGGGAGGCCAGGGCAAUCAGGCCCCCAUUGGCCCUGGGCAGGCCCUUGCUGGCUGGCUCUGGGAUGCUCUAAGUCUGGCACAGGAGAGAAGAUAGGCAGAUUUGAAACAGACCCCAUGGUUAAUUUCAGGGGCAUGAAACGUGUGGGAGGUGCUGAGGAAGUGCCAGGAGGGAAGGUGCACUCUCCAGCUGUGUGGCCCAUCACCGGGCUGGUUGGGGCCUGCUGUGCUUCACCCACGCGGCA
rnacentral:lncRNA from 1 species